GUGAGUCUCUACCAAUAUCCGGUGUAACCAGGCUGCUCUACACAACCCGCAGAAUGCUGCUCUCUAAAUCAACUGGAAUAAACUUCCCACAAACCUAAAGUAGCCCACUUGUUCCUUAUAACUCCACCAUUGCAUACUCAGAAGUCAACUUUGAGAAGAACAGUCUCCUUUCAGCAUAUAAUGGAUGCAAUUUGUUAUAUAAAAGCAAGAAAGAAUUUAGUUAUGUGAAUGACAAUGAACUGAAUCAGAAUGCCAUCCUAAAGAUACAUGAUUUAGAUAACAAUCCAAAAUGAAAUAUACUGCAUGGAUACAUCUGGAGUGCAAAGUUAGAAUCAGCCUCAUUAUGCCUCUGCCCUCCAAACAAGCACAACUUUUCUAAUAAAACUAAAUUAUUGGGCCUACUGUUUUUCAAAUGGGAUAUAGAUGACAGAUGGAUCAACAGAUUAAUAAAGA